UACGUAGGGGGCAAGCGUUGUCCGGAUUUAUUGGGCGUAAAGAGCGUGUAGGCGGCUUUGCAAGUCCGUUGUGAAAACUCGAGGCUCAACCUCGAGACGCCGGUGGAAACUGCAAAGCUAGAGUCCGGAAGAGGAGAGUGGAAUUCCUGGUGUAGCGGUGAAAUGCGCAGAUAUCAGGAAGAACACCCGUGGCGAAGGCGGCUCUCUGGGCCUUACCUGACGCUGAGGCGCGAAAGCUAGGGGAGCGAACAGG
rnacentral:rRNA from 1 species